AGCCUCCCAAGUAGCUGGGAUUACAGGCAUGUACCAUCAUGCCUGGCUAAUUUUUGUAUUUUUACUAGAGACAGGGUCUUGCCAUGUUGCCCAGGUUGGUCUCAAGCUCCUGGCCUCAAGUGAUCCACCCACUUCAGCCUCCAAAAGUGCUGGGAUUACAGGCAUGAGCUACUGUAUCCAGCCCGAGUAAAAGAAAAAAAACAAAAAUGGCUUAAAGUAGAUAUGGGUUAAUAACUGGAGUGAUUUAAAUUUUAGUUGAAAAGAGGCUUAAGUUAGCUGAAAUGGAUAAGAAUGAUGUCAGGUGACAAAAAAUGAAUUUUCAUGUUGGUUUGAUGAGUGGUGAAUAUGGGAGAAGCAGGUCAGGGAAAAUAGGAUUCAGAGUGCAGAUGGAGGAAGCAAUUUCAGCUUUAAGUAGUGGCCCUUCCCUGAAAUAGCAAGAAAUGUGAACAGUAAUUAUUAUAGAGACUAUUAUUUAGAA
rnacentral:lncRNA from 1 species